rnacentral:rRNA from 1 species
GACGAACGCUGGCGGCGUGCUUAACACAUGCAAGUCGAGCGGUAAGGCCCUUUCGGGGGUACACGAGCGGCGAACGGGUGAGUAACACGUGGGUGACCUGCCCUCAGCUCUGGGAUAAGCCUGGGAAACCGGGUCUAAUACCGGAUAUGACUCCAUGACGCAUGUUGUGGGGUGGAAAGCCUUGUGCGGCUGAGGAUGGGCCCGCGGCCUAUCAGCUUGUUGGUGGGGUGAUGGCCUACCAAGGCGACGACGGGUAGCCGGCCUGAGAGGGCGACCGGCCACACUGGGACUGAGACACGGCCCAGACUCCUACGGGAGGCAGCAGUGGGGAAUCUUGCGCAAUGGGCGAAAGCCUGACGCAGCGACGCCGCGUGAGGGAGGAAAUCCUUCGGGAUGUAAACCUCACAAGCAAGGGAAGAGAGCUCAGGGCCGAAUAAGCUUUGAGUCCGACGGUACCUUGCGUAAGCC